rnacentral:rRNA from 1 species
GACGUAGGGUGCAAGCGUUGUCCGGAUUUAUUGGGCGUAAAGAGCUCGUAGGCGGCUUGUUGCGUCGACUGUGAAAACCCGUGGCUCAACCACGGGCCUGCAUCCGAUACUGGCGGGCUCGAGGCAGGCAGGGGAGAUCGGAAUUCCUGGUGUAGCGGUGAAAUGCGCAGAUAUCAGGAGGAACACCGGUGGCGAAGGCGGAUCUCUGGGCCUGUCCUGACGCUCAGGCGCGAAAGCUAGGGGAGCAAACAGG